AGGAUGAACGCUGGCGGCGUGGAUAAGGCAUGCAAGUCAAGGGGUCCGCAAGGACACCGGCAGACGAGGUAGUAAUACGUAGGUACGCACCCUGAAGUCGGGCAUAACUAGUCGAAAGAUUAGCUAAUUCCCGAUGGUCUCGUAAGAGUAAAGAAUUUCGCUUCAGGAGCGGCCUGCGCAAUAUCAGCUAGUUGGUGAGGUAAUGGCUCACCAAGGCUAUGACGUUUAGGGGACCUGAGAGGGUGACCCCCACCGAUGGAACUGAGAUACGGUCCAUACACCUACGGGUGGCCGCAGCCGAGAAUAUUCGACAAUGGGCGAAAGCCUGAUCGAGCGACGCCGCGUGAUUGAUGAAGUCCUUCGGGACGUAAAAAUCUUUUGUAGACUAGAAAAUUAUUGAUCAGUCUAAGAAUAAGGGGUUGCUAAACUCGUGCCAGCAGCCGC
rnacentral:rRNA from 1 species